rnacentral:rRNA from 1 species
GGGAGAGUAACACGUGGAUAUCUACCCUCGGAUCUGGGAUAGCGGUGGGAAACUGCCGGUAAUACCAGAUAACGUCUCCGGACCAAAGGUGUGAUUCCGUCCGAGGAUGAGUUCGCGUCCUAUUAGCUUGUUGGUGGGGUAACGGCCUACCAAGGCGGUGAUGGGUACCGGGUGUGAGAGCAUGACCCGGCUCACUGGGACUGAGACACUGCCCAGACACCUACGGGUGGCUGCAGUCGAGAAUCUUCGGCAAUGGGCGCAAGCCUGACCGAGCGACGCCGCGUGCGGGAUGAAGGCCUUCGGGUUGUAAACCGCUGUCAGAGGGAAGGAAAUGCGUGAGGGUUCUCUCUCAUGUUUGACCGAUCCUCAGAGGAAGUACGGGCUAAGCUCGUGCCAGCAGCCGCGGUAACACGAACCGUACGAACGUUAUUCGGAAUCACUGGGCUUAAAGGGUGCGUAGGCGGCCUGGUAAGUUGAGUGUGAAAUCCCCCGGCUCAACCGAGGAAUUGCGCUCAAAACUAUCCGGCUUGAGGAAGGCAGAGGUAAGCGGAACUAAUGGUGGAGCGGUGGAAUGCGUUGAUAUCAUUAGGAACACCUGAGGCGAAAGCGGCUUACUGGGCCUUUCCUGACGCUGAGGCACGAAAGUUAGGGGAGCCAACGGGAUUAGAUACCCCGGUAGUCCUAUCUGUAAACGAUGAGCACUGGAUUGAGGGGACCUCCACAUCCUCUCGGUCGUAGCGAAAGUGUUAAGUGCUCCGCCUGGGGAGUAUGGUUGCAAGGCUGAAACUCAAAGGAAUUGACGGGGGCUCACACAAGCGGUGGAGGAUGUGGCUUAAUUCGAGGCUACGCGAAGAACCUUAUCCUGGUCUUGACAUGCUUGAGAAUCCUCUUGAAAGAGAGGAGUGCCCUUCGGGGAGCUCUUGCACAGGUGCUGCAUGGCUGUCGUCAGUUCGUGUCGUGAGAUGUCGGGUUAAGUCCCGAACGAGCGAAACCGAUUAUCUUAGCUACCAGCGGGUCAUGCCGGGCGACUCUAGGGAGACAGCCGGUGUUAAACCGGAGGAAGGUGGGGAUGACGUCAAGUCCUCAUGGCCUUU